rnacentral:ncRNA from 4 species
UACGUAGGGGGCUAGCGUUGUCCGGAAUCAUUGGGCGUAAAGAGCGUGUAGGCGGCCCGGUAAGUCCGCUGUAAAAGUCAAAGGCUCAACCUUUGAAUGUCAGUGGAUACUGCCGGGCUAGAGUCCGGAAGAGGCGAGUGGAACUCCUGGUGUAGCGGUGGAAUGCGCAGAUAUCAGGAAGAACACCAACGGCGAAGGCAGCUCGCUGGGACGGUACUGACGCUGAGACGCGAAAGCGUGGGGAGCGAACAGG